UACGGAGGGGGCUAGCGUUGUUCGGAAUUACUGGGCGUAAAGCGCGCGUAGGCGGCUUUGUAAGUUAGAGGUGAAAGCCCGGAGCUCAACUCCGGAAUUGCCUUUAAGACUGCAUCGCUAGAAUCAUGGAGAGGUGAGUGGAAUUCCGAGUGUAGAGGUGAAAUUCGUAGAUAUGUGGAGGAACACCGAUGGCGAAGGCAACCCCCUGGGUUAACACUGACGCUCAUGCACGAAAGCGUGGGGAGCAAACAGG
rnacentral:rRNA from 1 species